UAAUUUUCAUCAUCGUCGAUCAGCAGAAACUCCACAAGCGAAUGUCACUUUCCUCAUAUAAGUCAUACAUCAUAGGUGGAUGCGGAUCCAAGGUCAAUCAUCUGUUCUACUUUUUCUUCAGUGCCUUUUUCAAUUUGGUUUGUUUCUCUCUUUAUUUUCGUGCCUUUUUCUGCCUGUUUUGGUCUCUCUCAAACCCCGUGUUCUCUGCAUUUCCAUCUCCACAUCCUUCUCAUCUUUUCCAUCCAAAUUAUCUGUGUAAAUUUCUUGCGUUUAAAAUCGCUGGACAAGUUAAUUGUUGCUGUAAAGUAUCUGCUUCUACGGCCGUUCUACAUCUAUUCACACUGUUUGUGCUUUUUUCCGUCUGGGAUUUCCCGGUUCUGGCCUGAAUUUUGCUGAUUUCCACCCCUUUCGUCGCAACCUGUCUUCAGAUCACUGCAGAACUGAUCUUAUUUAAUUGAGGUGUGUUUUAUAAUCGUUAGAGAGAGAAAGAUGGCAGCGGCGGGCAUUGGUUGGAAUCCUAGAUCAGAAUUUUUAAGCGACAAAAUCAACUUGCAAAUUCAGUUCAGAUUAAGAUUUUUAAGCGAGAAUCAAGUUCUAAAUUCAAUUGAGUUUGACUGUUGAUAUUGGUUGCUUCGCUUCACUCUUUCAAUCUUGAUACCUUCUUUCUCCUCAAGAAGCUGUUAAUAUACACUCUCCUGAAGAAGUUGCUUUCAUAAGCUAUGUCACUGUGAGAGGUCUUUAUUUCUGGAUUACUUCAAGUGUUGUGGAAAGGGAUUAUGUAGGCUGCAAAUAAAGGAACUAGAAAUUGUUAUGAUAUAAAGCAAAAGACGAAAGUGCACGUUAUUAUUCCUUCAAUUUCAGUCUGGAUUUGUUAGCGAGCCUUCUCUCAUCUCUCUACUUUCAUACUUCCAUUCCAUCAGAGCAUGCGUUUCUCCAUCUUCAAGAAGAACAAGUCUCGUGUGAAUUUUCCUUUAAAGUUCGACGGUCGACAUUGCACAAGCUUCCUCGUGACAUUUGCUUACUUGUUCUUGGAUUGGUUGCUUCACUUCACUCUUUCAAUCUUGAUACCUUGCUUUCUCCUGAAGAAGCUGCUAAUAUACAUUAUCUUGAAGAAGUUCUUAUAAGCCAUGUCACUGGGAGAGGUCUUUAUCUCUGGUUUACUUCAAGUGUUACUUGAAAGGUUAGCAUCUCGUGAGACACUAAGCUACUUUAGACGCCUACUUGGCGUUGGCAAAGAGCUGGAGAAAUGGAAUUCAAUGUUGUCUACUAUUCGAGCGGUGCUGAAUGACGCGGAGGAAAAGCAAUUGACG
rnacentral:sRNA from 1 species